rnacentral:rRNA from 1 species
GCGUGGAGGAUGAAGGCUCUCGAGUUGUAAACUCCUUUUCUGAAGGAAGAGCAAGGACGGUACUUCAGGAAUAAGUCACGGCUAACUACGUGCCAGCAGCCGCGGUAACACGUAGGUGGCAAGCGUUAUCCGGAAUUACUGGGCGUAAAGCGCGCGCAGGCGGCCAGUCAAGUCUGACGUGAAAGCUCCUGGCUUAACUGGGAGAGGUCGUUGGAAACUAGCUGGCUUGAGGCAGUGAGAGGGGUGCGGAAUUCCCGGUGUAGUGGUGGAAUGCGU